rnacentral:misc_RNA from 1 species
AACCUUAUGGACCUGCGGGCGUAUACCUGCGGAGGGAUCAUUACAGAGUUGCAAAACUCCCUAAACCAUUGUGAACCUACCUUCUACCGUUGCUUCGGCGGGCGGGCCUAGCGCCCCCCCGGCCCCCCGCGGGCGCCCGCCGGAGGAUAACCAAACUCUUGACAUCAGUGGCCUCUCUGAGUAUUCUUUACUGAAUAAGUCAAAACUUUUAACAACGGAUCUCAGAUCGGAAGAGCACAC